CACAAUAUGGGUUGUAUGGUAAACAAAUGUUCCACUAGAAAGCACAGAACAUAAACAAAUACAGUUUAUCUACAGUAUUUAGAUUCCAAGGAAGGUGUCUAGGAAAAAUUCCUAACAAGUCUGCCUACAGGGGAAAUGAUGAAAAAUGUUUGAGAAAGAGAAAAACACAGUUGUCAACUUACAAAGAGAUAAGUUGAUCACAACCUAGAAUUUUCAAUGGAGAGGGUAUUACAGGUCAUAAGACUGCUUUACUCUGUAACACUUUUUAUUUUUUACCUGGCCAGGUAAGGAGCAGGAGGGAGCAUCCCCCUUCCUUCUACAGCAGCUGCUACCAAAGAAAGACUCUGCAGUACCACCAGGAAGAGGAGGCUCCUCCAUAGUGUAACAAAGAGUGAUUCGGCACUUCAGAAACUCAAGAUACAGCAUCGUGAUGGUAGCUCUGCCCACCCAGGGCUGCCCCUGCCUCAGACUAGCAGCAGAGUGUGAGCAAUGAAAGUCUUUUCAAGCUGGUCCUCAGUCAGUGACCCAGUAAAUCAUCUUCUUCAAACCCCAUUUUAAGCAAGGCCAACCAUUUAAAACUGAUUUCAGUUUUUGCUCUCGGGAAGUCAGAAGUCACUAAAGAUACCAAACUGAACAGUCCAGAAUGCAAUAUGUCUCUGGCAGUAUUUCCUUCAAUAAUCCACCUUGAGUUCUUCCAGUGACAUGGACUCUGACCUCACUGUGAGCACAGUUUAGAAUGGCCAACACCAGCAUCUUCCUGUGAAAAGCUCAAGUCCCACUGCCAAGUGGCAACAACUAGGAAAUAGAAAUACUCACCUUCCAGCUUCAUGAGGUCUGCUCCCAGGAAAGAGCCAGGAUUCCCAGUAUGCAGCUUUGCCCAGCCUGAUCACAGCUAAGGCCCCCAGGGCCUGAGAGCCGCCACGGCACUCAGAUGUGGGAUGAAGAAAUGGCGUAUCUGAAAUCAAUUCAGCCUCUAUAGAAUCCACAGGUGAUUUUUCUGCUAAGGUUUAAAAUCCCAUUUCACUGUAUUUGACACAUCCAAACUUCAAUAAAGCAUAUAAGAAGAUUCA
rnacentral:lncRNA from 1 species